rfam:TPA: Bos taurus chromosome 22, whole genome shotgun sequence.
UCCCUGGUGGCUCAGAUGGUAAAGCGUCUGCCUGCAAUGCAGGAGACCCAGGUUCGAUCCCUGGGUUGGGAA